rnacentral:rRNA from 1 species
CCUACGGGGGGCAGCAGUGGGGAAUAUUCGUCAAUGGGCGCAAGCCUGACCCAGCAACGCCGCGUGCAGGAAGAAGGCUUUCGGGUUGUAAACUUCUUUUGACAGGGAAGAGUAGAAGACGGUACCUGUCGAAUAAGCCACGGCUAACUACGUGCCAGCAGCCGCGGUAAGACGUAGGUGGCAAGCGUUGUCCGGAUUUACUGGGUGUAAAGGGCGUGUAGCCGGGUUGACAAGUCAGGUGUGAAAGCCUGCGGCUUAACCGCAGAACUGCAUUUGAAACUGUUGAUCUUGAGUACUGGAGAGGCAGACGGAAUUCCUAGUGUAGCGGUGAAAGGCGUAGAUAUUAGGAAGAACACCAGUGGCGAAGGCGGUCUGCUGGACAGCAACUGACGGUGAGGCGCGAAAGCGUGGGGAGCAAACAGGAUUAGAUACCCCGGUAGUC